rnacentral:rRNA from 1 species
GAUGAACGCUGGCGGCGUGCCUAAUACAUGCAAGUCGAGCGAACAGACGAGGAGCUUGCUCCUCUGACGUUAGCGGCGGACGGGUGAGUAACACGUGGAUAACCUACCUAUAAGACUGGGAUAACUUCGGGAAACCGGAGCUAAUACCGGAUAAUAUAUUGAACCGCAUGGUUCAAUAGUGAAAGACGGUUUUGCUGUCACUUAUAGAUGGAUCCGCGCCGCAUUAGCUAGUUGGUAAGGUGACGGCUUACCAAGGCAACGAUGCGUAGCCGACCUGAGAGGGUGAUCGGCCACACUGGAACUGAGACACGGUCCAGACUCCUACGGGAGGCAGCAGUAGGGAAUCUUCCGCAAUGGGCGAAAGCCUGACGGAACAACGCCGCGUGAGUGAUGAAGGUCCUCGGAUCGUAAAACUCUGUUAUUAGGGAAGAACAAAUGUGUAAGUAACUAUGCACGUCUUGACGGUACCUAAUCAGAAAGCCACGGCUAACUACGU